AGAGUUUGAUCCUGGCUCAGAUUGAACGCUGGCGGCAGGCUUAACACAUGCAAGUCGAGCGGGGAUGAGGUGCUUGCACCUUAUCUUAGCGGCGGACGGGUGAGUAAUGCUUAGGAAUCUGCCAUUUAGUGGGGGACAACAUUCCGAAAGGAAUGCUAAUACCGCAUACGUCCUACGGGAGAAAGCAGGGGAUCUUCGGACCUUGCGCUAAAUGAUGAGCCUAAGUCGGAUUAGCUAGUUGGUGGGGUAAAGGCCUACCAAGGCGACGAUCUGUAGCGGGUCUGAGAGGAUGAUCCGCCACACUGGGACUGAGACACGGCCCAGACUCCUACGGGAGGCAGCAGUGGGGAAUAUUGGACAAUGGGCGGAAGCCUGAUCCAGCCAUGCCGCGUGUGUGAAGAAGGCCUUUUGGUUGUAAAGCACUUUAAGCGAGGAGGAGGCUACUAGUACUAAUACUACUGGAUAGUGGACGUACUCGCAGAAUAAGA
rnacentral:rRNA from 1 species